rnacentral:rRNA from 1 species
AUUGAACGCUGGCGGCAGGCCUAACACAUGCAAGCCGAGCGGAUGAAGAGAGCUUGCUCUCUGAUUCAGCGGCGGACGGGUGAGUAAUGCCUAGGAAUCUGCCUGGUAGUGGGGGACAACGUUUCGAAAGGAACGCUAAUACCGCAUACGUCCUACGGGAGAAAGUGGGGGAUCUUCGGACCUCACGCUAUCAGAUGAGCCUAGGUACGAUUAGCUAGUUGGUGAGGUAAAGGCUCACCAAGGCGACGAUCGUUAACUGGUCUGAGAGGAUGAUCAGUCACACUGGAACUGAGACACGGUCCAGACUCCUACGGGAGGCAGCAGUGGGGAAUAUUGGACAAUGGGCGAAAGCCUGAUCCAGCCAUGCCGCGUGUGUGAAGAAGGUCUUCGGAUUGUAAAGCACUUUAAGUUGGGAGGAAGGGCAGUAAGUUAAUACCUAAAGUGAGUGGACGUUACUCGCAGAAUAAGCACCGGCUAACUCUGUGCCAGCAGCCGCCGUAA